rnacentral:pre_miRNA from 1 species
GCUCCCUGAAGAGAGGUUGUCCUUCCGUUGUUAUUAUUUGUGAUGUGUGUUCAAGGGCAAGCUCUCUCCAGAGGGC